AUUGAACGCUGGCGGCAGGCCUAACACAUGCAAGUCGAACGAGUGGCGGACGGGUGCGUAAUGUCUGGGAAACUGCCUGAUGGAGGGGGAUAACUACUGGAAACGGUAGCUAAUACCGCAUCCCAUCAGAUGUGCCCAGAUGGGAUUAGCUUGUCGGUGGGGGAAAGGCGCACGUAGGCGACGAUCCCUAGCUGGUCUAAGAGGAUGACCAGCCACACUGGAAUUGAGACACGGUCCAGACUCCUACGGUAGGCAGCAGUGGGGAAUAUUGCACAAUGGGCGCAAGCCUGAUGCAGCAAUGCCGCGUGUAUGAAGAAGGCCUUCGGGUUGUAAAGUACUUUCAGCGGGGAGGCGUUACCCGCAGAAGAAGCACCGGCUAACUCCGUGCCAGCAGCCGCGGUAAUUC
rnacentral:rRNA from 1 species